CUGGUUGAUCCUGCCGGACCUGAUUGCUAUCGGAUUGGUACUAAGCCAUGCGAGUAAGUGUAGCAAUACACUGCAGACGGCUCAGUAACACGUGGUCAAGCUAACCUAUGGACGUGGAUAACCUCGGGAAACUGAGAAUAAACCGCGAUAGAUCGUGAUGCCUGGAAUGGCUUAUGGUCGAGAUAGUUUACUGCCGUAGGAUGCGACUGCGGCCUAUCAGUUUGUUGGUGAGGUAAUGGCCCACCAAGACUAUUACAGGUACGGGCUCUGAGAGGAGAAGCCCGGAGAUGGGUACUGAGACACGGACCCAGGCCCUAUGGGGCGCAGCAGGCGAGAAACCUUAGCAAUGUGCGAAAGCACGACUGGGUUAGUCCGAGUGAUUCCUGCUAAAGGAAUCUUUUACCGGUCCUAAAAGCACCGGCGAAUAAGGGGUGGGCAAGUCUGGUGUCAGCCGCCGCGGUAAUACCAGCACCUCGAGUGAUCAGGACGUUUAUUGGGCCUAAAGCAUCCGUAGCUGGCUUUGCAAGUCUCCGGUUAAAUCAACCUGCUCAACAGAUUGGCCGCUGGAGAUACUACAAGGCUAGGGAGUGGGAGAGGCAGACGGUAUUCGGGGGGUAGGGGUAAAAUCCUCUGAUCCUCUGAGGACCACCAGUGGCGAAGGCGGUCUGCCAGAACACGUUCGACAGUGAGGGAUGAAAGCUGGGGGAGCAAACCGGAUUAGAUACCCGGGUAGUCCCAGCUGUAAACGAUGCAAACUCGGUGAAGCAUUGGCUUAAUGCUAAUGCUGUGCCGCAGGGAAGCCGUUAAGUUUGCCGCCUGGGAAGUACGGUCGCAAGAUUGAAACUUAAAGGAAUUGGCGGGGGAGCACCACAAGGGGUGAAGCCUGCGGUUCAAUUGGAUUCAACGCCGGG
rnacentral:rRNA from 1 species